rnacentral:rRNA from 1 species
UAUGUGAUCGUCUCUCGCAUAUCAAUAAGCGGAGGAAAAGAAACUAACAAGGAUUCCCCUAGUAACGGCGAGUGAAGCGGGAAGAGCUCAAAUUUGAAAUCUUAAAGGGUUUCCCUUUACGAAUUGUAGUUUAAAGAAGUGUUUUCUGUUGAGGUUUUGGUAAAAGUUCUUUGGAAUAGGACAUCAUAGAGGGUGAGAAUCCCGUAUUUGACCUUUACUUUCAACUUUGUGAUACACUUUCAAAGAGUCGGAUUGUUUGGGAAUGCAGUCCAAAAUGGGUGGUAAAUUUCAUCUAAAGCUAAAUAUUGGCGAGAGACCGAUAGCGAACAAGUACCAUGAGGGAAAGAUGAAAAGAACUUUGAAAAGAGAGUUAAACAGUACGUGAAAUUGUCAAAAGGGAAGCGUUUGACACCAGUGUUGUUUUUCUGAAAAUCAAUUAAAGAACUGUUUAUGCUAAGUUGUUUAGACUUUAUCAGCUAACUGUUUAGUUUUGAGCUUUUCUUUAAUGCACUUUUCAGUUAACAAGUCAACAUCAAUUUCUUUUGCUGUAAAAAAGCUUGAGGAAGGUGGCUUGAGAUUCGUCUUAAGUGUUUAUAGCCUCUUGCCUAUGCAGUCGGAGAGAUUGAGGUCUGCAGCGUAGAUCCUUCGGGGCUAAAUGCAUUUGUGCUAAGUUAUAGCAUUUUAUAGACAACUUGUUGACUAUGAUUUGUCUUGUAGCUUACUCGCUUAUGUUAUUUUACCUACGCUUAGGAUGUUGAUCUGUAGUGCGUGCGC